UUGAUCCUGGCUCAGAAUCAACGCUGGCGGCGUGCCUAACACAUGCAAGUCGAACGCGAAAACCCCGCAAGGGGUUAGUAGAGUGGCAAACGGGUGAGUUACGCGUGGGUGACCUACCUCAGGGUGGGGGAUAACCUUCCGAAAGGAGGUCUAAUACCGCAUGACAUACCGUGUUUGGAUACACGGAUAUCAAAGCCGGUGAUCGCAAGACCUGGCGCUUGGAGAGGGGCCCGCGUCCGAUUAGCUAGUUGGUGAGGUCACGGCUCACCAAGGCAACGAUCGGUAUCCGGCCUGAGAGGUCGGACGGACACACUGGGACUGAGACACGGCCCAGACUCCUACGGGAGGCUGCAGUGGGGAAUUGUUCGCAAUGGGCGCAAGCCUGACGACGCAACGCCGUGUGGAGGAUGAAGACCUUCGGGUCGUAAACUCCUUUCGACCGAGAUGAAUUCUCGCCGGCCUAACAUGCCGGCGGGGUGACAGUAUCGAGGGAAGCAGCUCCGGCUAACUCCGUGCCAGCAGCCGCGGUAAUAAGGU
rnacentral:rRNA from 1 species